rnacentral:rRNA from 1 species
UACGUAGGGUGCGAGCGUUGUCCGGAAUUAUUGGGCGUAAAGAGCUCGUAGGCGGUGUGUCACGUCGGCCGUGAAAACCUGCAGCUUAACUGUGGGCGUGCGGUCGAUACGGGCAUCACUGGAGUUCGGCAGGGGAGACUGGAAUUCCUGGUGUAGCGGUGAAAUGCGUAGAUAUCGGGAGGAACACCAGUGGCGAAGGCGGUUGCCUGGGGCUUUGCUGACGCUGAUGCGCGAAAGCGUGGGGAGCGAUCCGG